rnacentral:rRNA from 1 species
UACGGAGGAUGCAAGCGUUAUCCGGAAUUAUUGGGCGUAAAGCGUCCGCAGGUGGUUUUCCAAGUCUGCUGUUAAAGCGCGAGGCUUAACCUCGUACAGGCAGUGGAAACUGGAUGACUAGAGUAUGGUAGGGGUAGCGGGAAUUCCCAGUGUAGCGGUGAAAUGCGUAGAUAUUGGGAAGAACACCAGCGGCGAAGGCGGCUCACUGGACCGGAACUGACGCUGAGGCGCGAAAGCGUGGGGAGCAAACAGG